CACACACACAUUUUUUAAAAUAAUUUAGAUUUGAUUUUUACAUUUUUAUAAAAUUAGCUCUAACUUUCUUUAUAGGAAUGGAAUCUUGCUGGAUAUUUGUCGGCAAUCUACAGCGAGCACCCUGUACGCGCUAAGGUCGCAAGAGAACUAUUUCGCACGUUCAUUCCUUUUCUUUCAUCACGUAGGAUGAUGCCCACGUUUUCCAGAGAACGCUCGUUCGAUCGCCUAAACACGUCAAAUGUGUGACUCGUGCGUAGGUUUGAUGUUUUUACGGCUCCCACGCAAACAGAAACGGGUUCUUUGCGAAUGCGGGCCGUCUGACCGUUCACUUUUGCGAUAUCCAUCCAUCGGUAUCAUUAAUUGAGGCCUAACCGUCGAUCGGACAUGAAUAUUUGUAUAUGUAUAUGUAAAUUAGCAAAUAUAAGCUUCCGCGAGCAUAAUAAAUACAGCAAGCUUCUUGGUGAACAAAACCAGUUAAGUAAACAUGUUCUAUUAUUGUAUGUAUGAUCGAUCACUAUUGAUAAAUAUAGUUGAUUACGUGCAGUACUUGCGCAUUACAUUACAAGGACUCACACUGUGUGUUUCAUCCUUGUCUCGAGGCUAGCAAAUGUAGUACUCCAAAUGCUUGUACAUUUAUAAAUAUUGGAAAAAUGAAAUUUUGAAAAUCAUAAAUUACCACAUCUAUCUGACGAACUAUAAUUACAUAAGUGCACAAACUAUGUAUAAAAUGCGUUCGAGGAAGCUGCGUGCGCGCGAAACGCUGAUUCACUUCUUGGAAAGUUUCCGUAUCUCGCAAGACAGAUGUCACAAAAAAAAGAAAAAGAUUGAUCCUUCCAUGGAGGCUGGAGAGGCGUUUCAAUUGCUCAUCGUUCGAAAAAGUGAUAUCUCUCGAUCUCGCCCUGACUAAUUUAAUGUGAUGUUUCAUAAAAGAUUCGCUGGAAAUUUCAGCGUUUUCUUAUAGGAUUUGAGUCACACGAUUCAUUUGUAAGAAAUUUUAAUUUACUACGUGACAAUUAUUGUACAACCAUAUCUAUUAUGUGAAAUUUUAGAACAUUGUAAAAAAUUAAGAUACAACAAUGAAAUAUAAAAAGUAGGAAAC